CCCCACCCGCACGCCGACGCUUGCAUCGCCCCCACGGCUCCGCCUCGCUUGGCACCGGCCCACCUCGCCGCCGGCCCUCCCCCUCACCUUCUCCCACCUUGCAGCGCCGGCGUGUGCCAGAUCCGCCUGCAUCCCCCAGCCAACCAUCCCUCUCACAUCUCAUCUCUCUCUCCAUGCGGCUCCUCGCUGCGCUACCUGCGGCGGCUGAUCCAAACGACGUCCGGCGAAUCCCCACCACCACGAAGCACCGCUCGAGCCCCCCUCGCACUCGUGGCGCCCUCUCAUACGACUAGAUCCGGCGCUCGCGGCCAGUAAAGCUCACCGGCGACCCUCCUCCCAUGGCUAGGGUUUCGGGCAUCUACUCCGGCGCCGGUGGCCAAGUUGCCCUCCUCUCGUCCGACGUGGAGGGAGGUACUGUGGACAGCCUUCCUGCUGCUCGGGACGAAGUAGCCAUGGAGCUUCCUCCUCCUCCUCUGGCUUCAGGUGAGUUUGUCCGCCGUGAUCCAUCUAACGGCCAGCGCGAUGACCUAGAAAGUAGGACAGGGCCUGGACAUGGUAGGUCACAAACAUCCAUCUAUUUUGCCCUCCUGUACAUAUUUUGAUGUUGGAUCGGUGCUGUGUUUCAAUUGCUAAGAAAGCAGAAUAAAAGGGCUAUGUUCUAUAGUUAGCAGCUGGACCUAGGCGUCUCCAUAUCAUACCUCCACAAAGAAAAUAUCAUACUAAAUCUACUAUUAUGUGAGUUUGCCCAUAUGCACAAUUUACCUUUUUCCUAACAAGUUCCGAUCCUCACCCCUUCACUAGCUACUUACUCAUGGUGCUGGUCAAUGCACUCUAUGUGGUAAACUGCUACGAGGCUCUAUUCUUUUUCUUCAAAAUAAAUUACUUUAAUUAUAAGAGACGGAGUUUUUUCCAGGAAUAUUUGAUUACUGUUUGGUUUGAUCAGCUAGGGAUACCAUAUUUUUGAAAAGCAAUCAAAAUCUGUUUUUGGGUAGAUGCACUGCAAAAAUACCAGCAUCAUUAGAACAUAAAGAUAGGGAUGUGCUUAAUAAUUACCCUCACUGUCCUACUGAUAGUUCUCUUUGUUCUUGCAAAGGUGCUUAUUAAUCCACUGAAACCAUGUUAUAAGAUGCAAUUGUUUUAUCUCCUGAAAAAGCAUGAAGAUUUGUUUCUUUUAGUAAUUAAUUGAAACCACCUGUAAGCCUGCAAUGAAGCUUCUAUUAUUUUUGUCUCAUCAAUUCGGUAGCUAUUUUAUGCAAUAUGUUUUACUUAAAUUUCAGCAAAGGGAGCAUGUAUAUUUUGACAUAUGAACUGGUCUCUUUUUCUUUUCUUGACGGAGCGCACCUGGGCUCUCGAACGGCAUUCAAUACCCUGGUCAUAUCCUCAAAUUAAGCCAAUCUCACCAUGGGUCUUAUUCGCUGCCACCACCGGCAUGUUUCCAGCCGACCACCCAAAGACACUAACUUCAUGCAAAAUCGCAUUGCAGAUCGCAGCAUCAUGUCGAUAUGGCACUGUGAAAAUUGAAGAUUUGGUAUGGAGUCGCAAAAACUGCAAUACUCUCGGUAAUGCAGAAAAAACAAAGAUUUCAUGGUCUUCAACCUUUAUUCAAAAGAUACAUGGAUGAUUAUAUGGGUGUGUGGCAAGUAUACUGCAAUGAUGAUGAUGUUUCGGUUCAUCAUGAUGAUGAUGGAUGCUUUCAGUUUAGUUAAGUUGUAGGAAUUUUGUUCCUGUUGGAUGAUGUUUCUCGGUUAAGGUUUAGUUAAGUUGUAGAGACAACUUGUUCACAAGGAGUGUGCUUCCUUCUACAGAGACAGCUGGUACACAUGGAGGUUGGGUUCGUUACUCGUGGUGGCAAAAAAGAUGGCACCUACCUUGUAUCUUGUUGGCCAAGGGUAGGAAGGGACACUUUGCAGAUGGAAGGGGGUGUUGUAGGGCAGUUACUCUAAAGGAAUGAAUGGAAAAAGGCAGAGGUGUUUAUCAUCGAAAACUAAACUUGCAUGUACCCAUCUUAUGUGAAUAAGCAUGUAACCAGCUUAUAUCGAUAUUUUCAUUGUAAUGGAGACAUAAGACACAAGUGACAUGUUAAACUCAAAUAAUAUUUUUAUUAGUAUCUCAAAGCUGGAAAUGCACGAGUGUGAUAUGGUGAGAGAAGAAGAAAUACAUGAGAAUUCGGAACGC